GUCGGGUUUUCGCGCAAUCGAAAGUUUCAAACCGUGUCAGAUCCGAAAGGAAGCAGCACUCCGAUUCCGUAGAUGUGCCGCGGAAAUCCGGCCAC
rnacentral:SRP_RNA from 1 species